CCCUGUCCCUCUGAAGCCACGGGACAGAGCUGUGUGUCAGCUGAAGAGCAGCAAUGGGUAGCAGCUGAGUUUUGCCUGCUUUUCCCCUUGCAGAGGACACAAGUUUGGGCCUCUACCCAGACACUGAUGGAUUUAGAGGGUGAUGCUAUGUUUGAAACGCUCUCAGAUUUGACUGAGAAUGGGACGGCAGACUUGAAACAGAUUACAGGGAAACUGACAGAAAGAACAAUUACUGCUGCAAAGAGGAAAGAAUCAUUCUACACCACACAGUGCAAGCACAAAGACAGAAAGCGAGGAGGACAGUGGCUAGCAAGGAGCAGUCACUCCCGAGGAGCAGCCCUUCCCUGAGUGCAGCACGCUGGAGAUGUGUGCUUUGUCAGGGGCUGGUUGUAACUCAAAAAUGCUGUCUCUCUGUUAUGAUGUGCCAGCCCAAAUGUUGCUGCUGGAAUCAAGCACUGGAAGAGCCUGGCAAGAUAUAACCCCACCAAGGCAGAGGCUUGGCGUGGGCCUCUUUGGUGAUUCCAAGUUUCAAUUCUGAUGGUUUGCUUGGCCACUUAUUUAUUGUCAGAUUAGCCCAAAGGUCUGAAUAAAUUUAGGCUGAUUUCAAGUCGA